GGCUGAGUAGCUCAGUGGUAGAGCAGGAGAAUCAUAAUCUCUUGGUCGGGGGUUCAAAUCCCUCCUCAGCCA
rnacentral:tRNA from 1 species